UACCUACGGGAGGCAGCAGUGAGGAAUAUUGGUCAAUGGGCGGGAGCCUGAACCAGCCAAGCCGCGUGAAGGAAGAAGGCGCCAAGCGUCGUAAACUUCUUUUGUCGGGGAACAAAGGGCGCCACGUGUGGCGUUGUGAGUGUACCCGAAGAAAAAGCAUCGGCUAACUCCGUGCCAGCAGCCGCGGUAAUACGUAGGUGGCGAGCGUUAUCCGGAAUGAUUGGGCGUAAAGGGUGCGUAGGCGGCCUGCUAAGUCUGGAGUGAAAGGUACCGGCUCAACCGGUACAGGCUCUGGAAACUGGCGG
rnacentral:rRNA from 1 species